UACGUAGGGGGCGAGCGUUAUCCGGAUUUAUUGGGCAUAAAGAGCGUGUAGGUUGUAUCUUAAGUCAGUUGUUAAAUCCCCCGGCUCAACCGGGGUUCGCAAUUGAUACUGGGAUACUAGAGAUUGGGAGAGGAAAGCGGAACUCACGGUGUAGCGGUGAAAUGCGUAGAUAUCGUGAGGAACACCAGUUGCGAAGGCGGCUUUCUGGACCAAAUCUGACACUCAAGCGCGAAAGCGUGGGGAGCAAACGGGAUUAGAUACCCCGGUAGUCCACGCUGUAAACGGUGUUCACUAGGUGUGGGAGGUAUCGACCCCUUCCGUGCCACAGAUAAUUCGUUAAGUGAACCGCCUGGGAAGUACGACCGCAAGGUUA
rnacentral:rRNA from 1 species